GUACUCAGUUCGGAUUGUAGUCUGCAACUCGACUACAUGAAGCUGGAAUCGCUAGUAAUCGCAGAUCAGAAUGCUGCGGUGAAUACGUUCCCGGGUCUUGUACACACCGCCCGUCACACCAUGGGAGUCGGAAAUGCCCGAAGCCGGUGACCCAACCAAAAGGAGGGAGCCGUCGAAGGCAGGUCUGAUAACUGGGGUGAAGUCGUAACAAGGUAAC
rnacentral:rRNA from 1 species